rnacentral:rRNA from 1 species
GACGUAGGGGGCCAGCGUUGUUCGGAAUUACUGGGUGUAAAGGGUUCGUAGGCGGUGUGGCAAGUCGGGAGUGAAACCUCUGGGCUCAACCCAGAGUCUGCUUCCGAAACUGCUGUGCUUGAGUGUGGGAGAGGCGCGUGGAAUUGCAGGUGUAGCGGUGAAAUGCGUAGAUAUCUGCAGGAACACCCGUGGCGAAAGCGGCGCGCUGGGCAGUGGCUGACGCUGAGGCGCGACAGCGUGGGGAGCAAACAGG